AACAAAGUGUUACUUGUUGGAACAAAAGCUAGCACCUAUAUUGGAAAGCCUAUUGUGACUAAUGCUGUUGUUCAUGCUGUAGUUGAAGAGCAGGGAUUAAAUCCCAAAGUUGUUGUCUUCAAGUAUAAGAAGAAGAAAAACUAUCGGAGAAAUAUUGGUCAUCGGCAGCCAAAUACAAGAAUAAGGAUAACAGGCAUCACGGGCUAUCAAGAAUAUCCAGCAGUUACGCUGGACUCGUAGGAUUCUUCAAAGAUUUUGGAGUGUA
rnacentral:misc_RNA from 1 species